AGGACGAACGCUGGCGGCGUGCCUAACACAUGCAAGUCGAACGAGGUCCAACCGGUAGCAAUACCGGUGAAGAUCAAGUGGCGAACGGGUGAGUAGCACGUGAGCAACCUGCCCCGAAGACCGGGACAACACCGGGAAACCGGUGCUAAUACCGGAUAUCCCCACCGAGUCGCAUGGCUCAGUGAGGAAAUGGAUUCCGCUUCGGGAGGGGCUCGCGGCCUAUCAGCUAGUUGGUGAGGUAACGGCCCACCAAGGCGACGACGGGUAGCCGGCCUGAGAGGGCGACCGGCCACACUGGGACUGAGACACGGCCCAGACUCCUACGGGAGGCAGCAGUGGGGAAUAUUGCGCAAUGGGCGAAAGCCUGACGCAGCGACGCCGCGUGGGGAUGAAUGCCUUCGGGUUGUAAACCCUUUCAGCAGGGACGAAGCGAAAGUGACGGUACCUGCAGAAGAAGCGCCGGCUAACUACGCGCCAGCAGCCGC
rnacentral:rRNA from 1 species